GGCGUGAGGCGGCGCCGGAAGGAGGCGGUGGCGGCAGCGGCGGCGGGAGGAUUUGGCGGCAGCGGCGGGAGGAUUUGGCGGCAGCGGCGGACGCGGCACCAUGAGCGUGCGGCUGAGCGAGGGGGCCAUCGCGGCCAUAAUGCAAGGGGAGGAGGUCAACAAGCCUGUGCUGCAAGUGAUCAAUACACGGGCUAUUGCCACAGGAACUGGGCCCCCACGGUACCGAGUGCUGAUGAGUGAUGGGGUGAACACUCUCUCCUCAUUCAUGUUGGCAACACAGCUGAACUCCCUGGUGGAAGACGAACGCCUGUCAGCCCGGUGUAUUUGCCAGGUUAACAGAUUCAUUGUCAACAGCCUGAAAGAUGGAAGGAGAGUGGUGAUCCUGAUGGAUGUAAAUGUCCUGCAAACUGCUGAUCAGGUUGCUGGGCCUAUUGGCAAUCCCCAGCCAUACAAUGAGGGGCAAGGGCAACGUCCUGCAGCUCCAGCAGGAAACCCAGCAGCCAGCAAACCACAGCAGCAAAAUGGCAAUUUGUCUGGAGCAGGUCCUCCUGCUCCCAAGUACCACGCUCCCUCCAACCAGUUUGGAAAAGCGAGUGCUCCCAGUGCCCUGAAGACACCUGGGGGGUCCCAGAUCAAAGUGGUGCCGAUUGCCAGCUUGAAUCCGUACCAGUCCAAGUGGACCAUUUGUGCUCGUGUUACCCAGAAAGGUCAGAUCCGCACGUGGAGCAACUCUCGUGGGGAAGGAAAACUCUUUUCCAUAGAGCUGGUUGAUGAAAGUGGUGAGAUUAGAGCUACUGCAUUCAACGAUCAAGCAGACAAGUUCUUUCCACUCAUUGAAUUGAACAAGGUAUAUUAUUUUACCAAAGGCAAUUUGAAGACUGCUAACAAGCAAUAUACAGCUGUUAAGAAUGACUAUGAGAUUACAUUCACUAAUGAGACUUCAGUUGUGCCCUGUGAUGAUGCCCAGCAUCUUCCAUCUGUUCAGUUUGAUUUUGUAUCCAUCUCUGACUUGGAGAACACGCCCAAAGACUCGAUUGUUGAUGUAAUUGGAAUUUGCAAGAGCUACGAAGAUGUCACUAAAAUUAUAGUGAAAGCUAACAAUAGGGAGGUUUCAAAGAGGAACGUGCAUCUGAUGGAUACAUCAGGGAAACUGGUGACAGCUACACUGUGGGGAAAUGAGGCUGAACAGUUUGAUGGUUCCAGACAACCUGUGAUUGCCAUCAAAGGAGCCCGUGUCUCUGACUUUGGUGGCAGAAGCCUGUCUGUCCUGUCCUCCAGUACAGUUGUCAUCAACCCUGAUAGCCCAGAGGCUUUCAAGCUCCGAGGAUGGUUUGACUCCGAGGGGCAGCUUCUGGAAUGUGCCUCCAUCUCUGAUGUGAGGGGUGGGCCAGCAGCUGGAGCAAAUACCAAUUGGAAAACUUUGUUUGAAGCCAAAUCUGAGAACUUGGGACAAGGAGAUAAGGCAGAUUAUUUUAGCUGUGUGGGCACAAUUGUACAUCUGCGCAAAGAGAACUGCAUGUACCAGGCAUGUCCCUCUCAGGAUUGCAACAAGAAAGUGAUAGACCAGCAGAACGGACUUUACCGCUGCGAGAAGUGUGACCGCGAAUUCCCCAACUUCAAAUACCGCCUGAUGCUGCUGGUGAGUGCCCGGAUCGGAUUUCAGGGCGUUCCCUGCCACGUUCCCAGCACAAUCCAAGCAGGAAAUCUUUGGAGGGAGCCGGCUCGGUGCUGUUUGUCUGUCUGUGCUGCCUGUGACCAUUGCAGACUGUCUGGAGUAUCAGUGGGUGACUUGUUUUCAAGACACAGCAGAAUUCAUUCUUGGCCAAAAUGCAGCUUUCCUGGGAGAACUGAAGGAAAAGAACGAGCAGGCUUUUGAAGAAGUGUUCCAAAAUGCAAACUUCAACACCUACGAGUUCAGGAUCCGGGUGAAGCUGGAGACUUACAACGAUGAAUCUCGCAUUAAGGCCACAGCAAUGGACGUCAAACCCGUGAACUACAGAGAGUACAGCAAGAGGUUGAUUGCCAACAUCAGGAGAAAUGCUCAGCUGGGAUGAGGAGGCCAGUGCUGGCUGCUUGAACCUAGAAUUUCCAGGAAAAACUCAAUAGAUAACGUUACAUUGACAUUUUCCCCACCUCGUGUGUGACAAUUGGGCAUUAGUUACACCCAGUGUAGUGGGCUGAGUGAUUUGAUGCAUUUCUCUAGAGAUGUGCCCUGGGAGGUAAGAGUGCACUCUGAUGGCCACGACUUUGUAGCCUGUUGUGGUCUGUUAAACUCUGACAGAGCUGAAGAGGAAUCUCUAGACAGAUUGCCAAGGUCUUUAGACAAACCACUCAGAACGUCUGAAGUAACUUUGCUCUCUUCCUAUAUGUAAAGCUGAAUUAUAUAACCAUUUUGUCUGCUUUGCAAGGGAGUAGUGACAACCUUGACACUUUGACUUGUUCAGCAGAGGGCAGGAGGAGCAGUGUCACAGAGCUUUCAGAUCUGGACAAAAGAGAACAAGUCUAUUAGUACAAGUUAGUUCCCUUCCAUAGAAUUCAAAGGCUUUCACUUUCCACAGGUGCCAUGCAGUUGUUAAUGCUUGGAAUGGCAAUAUGGUAGAAUUAUUAAUCAAAGACAUAUCUCUUAUAUCUGAAGAAUAUCCUUCCUUCAGGGUUUAAUAGACUGAGUCAGAUGGGCCUGAUAUUAAUCAAAAUUGUCUCUUCUGAGGAAGGCAGAUAAGCAUUGACUCUCCAUCCCCCAGGGAAAUCCAGGCAACUACAAAGCAUUGCUUUAGUUUUCUCUUCAAUUAAUACUAUGGAUUUCUGACUGAUUUUUUUUUUUGGCUAAUAGUUUCUGCCUAUACAUGUUUUGUAUGUUUGUAUGUUGAGUUUCUUUGGUUUUAUUUGUAAUGAUGUUAAUCAGAAAGAGGUCUUUAAGUGGGGGGUGCUUUGUUUCAAUAAACAGUGUUUAAUUCCUGUGUA